rnacentral:rRNA from 1 species
UACGUAGGGUGCAGGCGUUAAUCGGAAUUACUGGGCGUAAAGCGUGCGCAGGCGGUUUGCUAAGACAGGUGUGAAAUCCCCGGGCUUAACCUGGGAAUGGCAUUUGGGACUGCAAGGCUCGAGUGCGGCAGAGGAGACUGGAAUUCCUGGUGUAGCAGUGAAAUGCGUAGAUAUCAGGAGGAACACCGAUGGCGAAGGCAGGUCUCUGGGCUGACACUGACGCUCAUGCACGAAAGCGUGGGGAGCGAA